UUAAAUAAAGGCAACAGUAGUUUACCGCUGUUCAAAACUCAUAAAUCCAUGGACAAAAAACAAAAUCGGGGUAACAAACUAAAACCGAGGGAAACGCAUUAAAUAUAAGAGGAGAACAACGACACAACACCGAAACGCAACACACACAGAAACGGACCAAGCAUCAGACAAAAUACCACGAGAAUAACAAAUAUAACAUCAAAACCAAAUACAUGACUUUGGGAUAGACAAGUACCGUGCCACGUCUUAUCUUAACACUUCUAGUAUAUAUAUUAGCUAAAUUGUGUCUGAUAUAUGGUUACAGAUGAUACUGUUGUGACAAGAAUUCUAAAUUGACCAUUUGAGGCAGAAAAUGUGUUCUUUAAUUGACAAAUAGGCAUACAGUAAGAUGUGGACUGGAGACAGAG
rnacentral:lncRNA from 1 species